UUUUUUACAUUUCACUCUCAAAGAGCUUGUUUAGCUCAUUUUCCCAAAAGACUUGCUGUUUUUUUGCAAUUGAAGAAUUCAGAUCCAUCAAAAUCCAUAGCUAAUUUCUUCGAUCAUACAGAAAAAAACUCUACAGAGUUAUAAAUAGGGGCAUUGAGAAGGAUGAAUGGAGUGGCGGAAUGUAGCGUUUGCCACUCGAAAUUACAAGUUGUUUCUUCGCCUAACUCCAAAAGAACCUUUUCUAAAGCCUAUGAUCAUCAUCGCACUGAUGCUUCCUUGAAAACACGCGCUUUCAACGUUUUUUUGGUUGUCGGUGACUGCCUUUUAGUCGGUUUACAGCCUAUACUUGUAUAUAUGUCAAAAGUUGAUGGCAAAUUUGAGUUCAGUCCCAUUAGUGUUAAUUUCUUGACUGAGUUGGCAAAAGUUGUAUUUGCACUAGUAAUGCUAUGCUUUCAGGCUCGAAGUCAGAAGGCUGGUGAGAAGUCUUUUCUCUCUUUCUCCACGUUGUUCCAGGCUGCUCGGAACAAUGUGCUUCUGGCUGUUCCAGCUCUGCUUUAUGCUAUUAAUAACUACCUGAAGUUUAUCAUGCAGUUAUAUUUUAACCCUGCUACUGUAAAGAUGCUGAGUAACUUGAAGGUUUUGGUAAUUGCAAUCUUGUUAAAGAUGAUUAUGAAACGUCGUUUUUCCAUAAUUCAGUGGGAGGCUCUUGCACUAUUGCUUAUUGGCAUCAGUGUGAAUCAGCUGCGCUCUCUGCCGGAAGGUACAACAGCUUUGGGUCUUACAGUGACAACAGGGGCAUAUUUGUAUACCUUGAUUUUCGUCACUGUUCCUUCACUGGCUUCUGUCUACAAUGAAUAUGCUUUGAAGAGCCAAUUCGAGACCAGCAUUUAUCAUCAGAAUUUGUUUUUGUACGGAUAUGGUGCAAUCUUCAACUUCCUAGGCAUACUUGGAACUGUCAUUUACAAAGGACCCGACAGUUUCGAUAUCUUACGGGGACACUCACGAGCAACAAUCUUUUUAAUAUGCAAUAAUGCAGCUCAGGGAAUCCUGUCUUCGUUUUUCUUCAAGUAUGCAGAUACAAUUCUGAAGAAAUAUUCAUCAACUGUUGCCACUAUUUUCACUGGAAUAGCAUCUGCUGUUCUGUUUGGGCAUCCCCUUACUAUGAACUUUAUCUUAGGAAUCUCCAUUGUGUUUAUCUCGAUGCAUCAGUUCUUUUCACCUCUUGCAAAAGUCAGGGAUGAGACACAAAACAGCAGUCUGGAAAUGAAUUCUCAGAAAAACUACAGGUCAAAGGAUGGAUCUGUCAUAAAUAUGGCGGCUGGGGCAAAUGAAGAUGCUAGCCAUCGUGUAGGACCUGAUGACAGAGAACCCCUUCUUCCACGUUAGUUACUAUAGCGUACUUGAUGGAUGGUUUUAGAGAAGCAAGGUGUUAAGACAUGUGUCGUUGGGCCUGGCCAAACUUUUAGGAUGAAUACUGGAGAAACAUCUUUGGCUGGUCAAAGUAUAGAUAGAUAGUUCCCUUGAUAUUUAACAUCAGUAUGCUAAGAAGACUCUUUUCACCUUCCAGAUAGGGACAAUCUCUUCAAUGAGAAUUUACUAUAGCCCUUUUUUAUAGUAUGUAAUGAGGGUUUUAUAGUAGGAACCACGGUCGUUAAUAUUGAGUUCUGGAUGAUGUGUAUCAUCCGUUUUUGUAUAGAGUUUAGCUCAUAACCCGGACAUUAUUAUCACACAUGUCACUAGAAUCACAUGCAGAGUAUUGUCUUGCUAGCUGUAAAGACAUUAUGUAUGCACAUUUAUAUGUAAAUUUGUUCUGUGAAUUCAAGUUAAUGAAUAGCCGUGGUUCUCAAUA